rnacentral:lncRNA from 1 species
CAAAGAAAGGCCCCUAGAUCGAGCCCUGCUGGCAAGGGGGCCCGUGAGGAAGACCUUACGGCUGCAGCACGCACGAGGGAUGGGACAUGCUGCCCACGGUCAGGAGCCGGGCCGCUCUGUCUCCUGACCGGCAGGCAAGGCCCGGGGACCAGACCUUCUGGGGCUGGCCCAGUGCCCCAGCCACAUCCUUGGCCGCGCGUGCGACAUGCUGCCGCUUCAAGUGCAAGCGGACGACGGGACCGAAGCCGACUCGGGCUGGGGUUUGCAGCCUCGCGGGGCUUCUGUGGGGACGUGUGGCGAACAGAAGGUGAGAGAGAGAGAGCACAGACUCGCGGUUCUCAUUCCGUGGUUUAUUUCCUCCCGUGGGGUUUUGCUCGUCUUUAUUGAAGCCCAGGCUGGGUUUUUGGUUCGGGGUGGUGCUUUUUGUCUGUGACCAGGGCCUGCGCGCUCAGGGACUCGGGUUGUCCUUGCACGACUCGCAGAGGGCACUCUUGUGAUCUGAGGAGCCCUCCUGCCCCUCGUCCCCUUCGGGGGCCUCGUUUGGGGCCGUGACUGGAAGGGCCACCAGGAGGAUGGAGGAAAAGGUGGUGUACAGAGACAGCACCGAGCCGUACGCUGGGCAAACCGGGAGGCUGGUGGGCACUUGCUCUGCACUGUCACUUCCGGCGGUAGCCGGGGGCACCAACGUGACAUUCCUGGACGUGCCCUCCCCACUGGGGCCACCUUGCUCACGGAGGGGCUGGUGUGCCCCGGCCUGCCCGGCUACACUGCUCCUGGACCAGAGGCCAGAGAACGUGAAAGCCCGGGUGGCACCGGGCCCCUGAGCACUGGGAGCUUCCUUCGGGGCCUUGGAGCCGGCAGCCUCCUUGGUGGGAUCCUGGGGGCGGAAGCCUCGCUCCCUGGAUGUUCUCGACAAGCAGAGGCUUGUCUCUCUGGAAGUUGGAGUUGCGGUAGAUCUGAAACGAGAGGAGUCAGGUUAGCCGUUCCGGGAGAAAAGAGGCACCCUCCCCCGAGGGCCCGCAGGAGCUGGGGGUCAGAGGCCUCCGCCACGCCUGGCACGAGCUCACGCCACCCGGGCCCAGGUGUUCACCUAGCUGCCUGCCACCAAGUGGCCCCCCAGGAUCUGUGCCCCCCCCCCCCCCGGGG